rnacentral:tRNA from 1 species
GCCGAUCUGGGCGUCUGGCCGGACAUCCUGCUGUUCUCGCCGGCGGCGAUGGCGCGCGGCCAGGUACGGACGCUGAUCGCCGAAGCGGAGCGGCGCC